UGACUGCGGAGGGAUCAUUACCGAGUUUACAACUCCCAAACCCCUGUGAACAUACCUUAUGUUGCCUCGGCGGAUCAGCCCGCGCCCCGUAAAAAGGGACGGCCCGCCGCAGGAACCCUAAACUCUGUUUUUAGUGGAACUUCUGAGUAUAAAAAACAAAUAAAUCAAAACUUUCAACAACGGAUCUCUUGGUUCUGGCAUCGAUGAAGAACGCAGCAAAAUGCGAUAAGUAAUGUGAAUUGCAGAAUUCAGUGAAUCAUCGAAUCUUUGAACGCACAUUGCGCCCGCCAGUAUUCUGGCGGGCAUGCCUGUUCGAGCGUCAUUUCAACCCUCAAGCCCAGCUUGGUGUUGGGAGCUGCAGUCCUGCUGCACUCCCCAAAUACAUUGGCGGUCACGUCGAGCUUCCAUAGCGUAGUAAUUUACACAUCGUUACUGGUAAUCGUCGCGGCCACGCCGUUAAACCCCAACUUCUGAAUGUUGACCUCGGAUCAGGUAGGAAUACCCGCUGAACUUAAGCAUAUCAAAA
rnacentral:rRNA from 1 species